rnacentral:rRNA from 1 species
CGCGUAGGCGGUGUUUAAGUGAGAUGUGCAAUCCCCGAGCUUAACUUGGGAACUGCAUCUCAGACUGGAACGCUAGAGUACUGGAGAGGGUGGUAGAAUUCCACGUGUAGCGGUGAAAUGCGUAGAGAUGUGGAGGAAUACCAGUGGCGAAGGCGGCCACCUGGACAGUAACUGACGCUGAGGCGCGAAAGUGUGGGUAGCAAACAGGAUUAGAUACCCUGGUAGUCCACGCUGUAAACGAUGAACACUUGGUGUGGCGGGAGUUGACCCCUGCCGUGCCGUAGCUAACGCGAUAAGUGUUCCGCCUGGGGAGUACGGUCGCAAGGCUGAA